GACGAACCUGCAGCGGGAGGAACCGCAGCGCCUUUGGGACGUGGUGGCCGCGGGGCGGAGCGUUUGGCCUUUCAACCCAAUUCUGCAGCGACUCCUAUCAGAACCCAGACCUGACCGGAUUCGUACCCUGGACCUUUCCCCUAUCAGAUUUAUUUUUGAAGGAUUGCUUCUUUUUCUUUCUUUGGGGAUGAUGGCAGAGCGGAAGCCGAUGCGGCGUCUUCCCCCACCCCACCCCCCCUCUCAUUUUCGUGAGCCUUCAAGGCUUACUGUUAAGAUAAAUCGUGAAUUACUAUCUCCUUGAACUUACAGAGCUGCAUCCCUCAGUUUCCAGACUAGCAUUUCAGAGGUUGGGGCAGCUUUCUCUGACACGCCUUUCCCAUUGCUGAUUAGACGUUCACCAAAUUCAGUGCUGGUGAUGAAUUCCUUACCCAGAACCCAAAGGGAACAGCUCCAGAACCUGCAGGAUUCGGUGCCCUAGGUUCUGGGAGAAGAAUCUAUGGCAGACACAUUGGAUCCUGUAGUUUGCUGAUGUACGCAUGGAAAUUGCAACAGCUGUCUUGAUGUUUAGUAAUCACCACCUGGAUCCAUCAACAACCAUCGACACUAAGACAAGAGGUUCCAAUAAGAUUACAAUUCAUUGAAGGCCAAGAUGAUGGUUAGUGUUUUUUAAUUAUAGACUACUUUUGAUGUUAUGUAUGCGCAUUGCUUUUUUUUUUGGACAUAAUGUUGUUGCACACUUAAUAGAAUAUAGCAUAUUGAAAAUAUAACUUUUGGGAGUCCGGUGGUAGCACAGAGGGUUAAGCACAUAUGGUGCAAAGUGCAAGGACCGGUGUAAGGAUCCCGGUUUGAGCCCCUGGCUCCCCACCUGCAGGGUGGUCGCUUCACAGGUGGUGAAGCAGGUCUGCACGUGUCUAUCUUUCUCUCCCCCUCUGUGCCUUCCCCUCUUCUCUCCAUUUCUCUCUGUCCUACCCAACAAUGAUGACAUCAAUAAAAACAACAAUAAUAACUACAACAAUAAAACAACAAGGGCAACAAAAGAAAAUGAAUAAAUAAAAUUUUUAAAAAGAAAAUAUAACUUUCAUAUGCACCAGAAAGCCAAAAAGAUUCAUGUGACUGACUUUAUUACAUUAUUAGCUUUAUUGUUAUGGUUUGGAACAGAACCUGCAGUAUCUCUGAAGUGUAACUGUGUGCUUCCUUAAUAUUUUCUCUGUCUAUGGCCUAUCUUAUUCAUUUUUAUGAUUAUAUUUCAAAGAGCACAAGUACUUUUCAAUUUUAAUGAAGCACCAUUUAUCAGUUUUGUUUUAUGGUUAUGAACUGGAGUUUUUGUGUCAAGUAAUCUUUGCUAAUCCCAAAUUAUUUUUUCUUUAUAUUUUGUAUUAAAAGUGCAGUAUCUGAUAUGACCACCACUCUCUAAAUAUGAUUAUUUAAAGUUAACUAAAGUAAGGCUGGCUGUGGGCUCUCGCUGUGGGUCCCCCCACCCACCCUGGCCACUGGUGGCGAGGGUCAGAGCGGCCCCUCAGGAGUCCCGGGGUAACUUUACAUGUCGGGGGCGAUGUGCGCAAAGAGACGAGAAUCACAGACUCAUUCAGCUCCAGGAGCAGCCUCGGAAAGGUGGGCGACUCAUUUUUUGAGAGAGAAGGCAGGCAAAUUAUACCCAUUGCACAGGGAGAAGGUUAACCCAAACACAAUGCAACACCAUGCAUAGUCACAUUUUGACCUACGAAGUAUUUGAUCACAAGUGGAAAGUUCCCAUAACAAGGUUUGAUCAGAAGCUCAUAAUA